rnacentral:rRNA from 1 species
GAUGAACGCUGGCGGCGUGCCUAAUACAUGCAAGUCGAGCGAACGGACGAGAAGCUUGCUUCUCUGAUGUUAGCGGCGGACGGGUGAGUAACACGUGGAUAACCUACCUAUAAGACUGGGAUAACUUCGGGAAACCGGAGCUAAUACCGGAUAAUAUUUUGAACCGCAUGGUUCAAAAGUGAAGGACGGUCUUGCUGUCACUUAUAGGUGGAUCCGCGCUGCAUUAGCUAGUUGGUAAGGUAACGGCUUACCAAGGCAACGAUGCAUAGCCGACCUGAGAGGGUGAUCGGCCACACUGGAACUGAGACACGGUCCAGACUCCUACGGGAGGCAGCAGUAGGGAAUCUUCCGCAAUGGGCGAAAGCCUGACGGAGCAACGCCGCGUGAGUGAUGAAGGUCUUCGGAUCGUAAAACUCUGUUAUUAGGGAAGAGCAUAUGUGUAAGUAACUGUGCACAUCUUGACGGUACCUAAUCAGAAAGCCACGGCUAACUACGUG